AUUAAAUGAUAAUAGAAAAAUGGUUAAGUAAAUAGUGAAAGAUGUCAACGCAGGCGUAACUGCAGUUUGUUUUGUUACAUGAUCUACGGCUAUUUCAUUGCCAAAGCUCCUGAUAACAGAUCAAAGCAGAUGGAUCGGGCUUACAGAGUCGCCAUUUAACUUCAAAUAUCUUCGUGAUCGGUAAGUUUUAAAUAGUCCUAGUUUUGUUCACCAUUCUAAUGCUCGAUUUAUCUUUCAUUCCUCAGGAAAACGCAUCAAACAGCAAGUGUUUUUCCUUCCAACAGCACGCGCCAUCGGUGGAGCAAGCAGCCAACGAUUUGAUCGCCAGUACGCGCCAUCAAGAAUUGAUAUUUUGCCAAACAGUACUGUGAAUAAAAAACUGCACACUUACUGUC